rnacentral:tRNA from 3 species
UCCCCUGUAGCUCAAUGGUAGAGCGUCCGACUGUUAAUCGGCAGGUUGGUGGUUCGAAUCCACCCGGGGGAGCCA